CCAACACUGGGACUGAGACACUGCCCAAACUCCUACGGGAGGCUGCAGUCGAGAAUCUUUCGCAAUGGGCGAAAGCCUGACGAAGCGACGCUGCGUGAGUGAUGAAGGCUUUCGGGUUGUAAAACUCUUUCGCGCAAGAGCAAAGUGGAUUAGUGAAUAACUGAUUCAUGUGAGAGUACUGCGUAAAGAAGCACCGGCUAACUCC
rnacentral:rRNA from 1 species